GCGGGAGAGGGCGCUGCCCCGCCGCCCGAGUCGCUGGGCGCCGCGUUUCGCUGACUCUGCCAAACACGCCAUUAGGGCCCGCCCGGGAGGGCGUUAUCCUAAUGGAGCGGCUCUAAGUCACCUUUGAAAGGAAAUCCCCGGCCCGAGUCCUGACCUGCGCCAAGGCCUCGGUGGGCAGUCCGCAGAGGCCAUUCCAGACCUCCCUCCCUGCUCCCCUGGCCUCUGACCCCAUGCGCUUGAAGCGCAGGUCCUGGCCUCCACGGCUCUUCUCACUUUGGCUGGGUGCUGCUUCAUCCCGGUCAGCUGGGAUGGGGCGUCCCCAGAGCGCCCGGAACAGGCCUCCAGAGAGAAGCCACCGGCCAAUAUAGAAAUCGCACAGCGCUGCCAACAUUGGGCGUCUGUUCGGGACAAGCAAGACAGCAAGGGGCUCCAGAUCUGGAGGAUUUUGAUAAGGCCCUGGCCCUUAUUGUCCUAAUGCAUGGCUGCAGUAUUUCACCAGAGGACCUAAAGAAGGACUGCAGCUGGUCUAAAGAAGGACACAAGUCACAUGUUAUAUAAAGCAGAGUAACGAAAUGAGGAAGCAUGAUAAAGGGCAGAAUUUUGAAAUGUAUAAACAUUCCUUCACUGCAAAGUUAAUCCAUGGAUUUCAUAUAGAAAUACUCAUGCAGCAGCUUAAAAUUAUUUGUAUGUUUAUAGGGAAAAUGCUAUGAUGUCUACAAUGUGCUUAAAAUACUCCAGCAAAAACAAAAACAGAAAGUCUGUAUGUGUGUCAGGGAAGAAACAGAUAAAACAUGAUUCCUAAAGUGCUCAGAAUUGUUGAAAUCAGUGAUAUGAAGAUGGAGGUUCAUUGUACUGUUCUUUUGGUUGAUACGUCUGUCAUAAAUUUUCCACAACAUAUAUCCCUCCAUACCUCUAAAACAAUUCUCUAGAAACAGGCAAACUAUGAGAUGAAACAGGUAAGAGUCUGAAAAUUGAAGAGAAGAUACAGAAGAAAAAUGUGGAGGGCUGACUAGAUAACGUACAUGAGCAUGCAAUUCAUUAAAAAAGAAAAAAAAGUCAUGCCUCAGAAAAGUUGAAAACCCAUUCAACCUUACUAAAAUAAUUAAAGAAAUGUAAAUGCAAGCAAACUAGUACCUUUUUACUUUUUUAAAACAAUUUUCCCAAGGACUAUAUAUAUUUGUGGAGAACCAUGUGAUGUUUUUGAUACAUGUACAUAUUUUAUAAUGUUUAAAUCAGG
ensembl:lncRNA